CACUUCCGGUUGAGGAAGCUUUACCUGAUCACCCUGAUGAUUAGUACGUUUGUUGUACAUGUGUUAAUUAAGUUCAGUUUUCUUUCGUUGAAGCUGGCGAAUCGGCCCCCGACCCUUUUGCUUGAUUCCUUUAAAUACCAAACCAAGAUGAAACAUCCCCCCUCAUGAAGAACUGGAAUUUGCAUGAACCCAGGUGGUCAGACUUGGGUAGUUUAGACCUCAACGGGAACAGAAGGAAACGGAGGUCCUUUUAUCCUUGCAUCAGUCAAAUCACACACAAAGCCCUAAAUAAAGCAUAUGUUGAAGAGCUGCUGAAGACAAGGUCAUCUAAAUAGUUUUUCAUGAUUAACUCAAUCAACAAGAGCAUACAUACACAGGUCAGUACCGUGUUUAGCUUUAAAGCUGAUUAUCUGUUGAAUGUAAUGAUAAAUUUGAGUAUCUAAAUUUAUAAAUUGAAUUGCUAGUAUACAGGAUUUAAAACGCCAAACUUAUUUCACACUCACUUAUGACUAUUUAGCCUUUAUUUAUAUGUUUUAAGAUGAGUUUAUCACAAAAAAAAACUAUGUAUUGGAAAAAAAGUAAUGGAAAACAGAGACAUAGAAUUUAAGAUUUAAAUAAUGAUUUAUUUAAACUGUAACAGCUCCAGGUAAGGAGAAUUGAACCAUCCAUGAUUACGUUAUCACACAGUUGUUAAGAGGGAGCAAACGCUCGGUGUAACAAAAGACCGGAGUGUCUGGAGGAAAGUAAACGGUCGCAUGGAGAGGUAGCAGGGUAGACAAAUUGUUCCGCUGGUUAGGUAAGAUGGAGGUCUGUGAGAUGGUGGUCCCAACAUGUUAAAA